AUUGAACGCUGGCGGCAGGCCUAACACAUGCAAGUCGAGCGAGCGGCGGACGGGUGAGUAAUGUCUGGGAAACUGCCUGAUGGAGGGGGAUAACUACUGGAAACGGUAGCUAAUACCGCAUACCAUCAGAUGUGCCCAGAUGGGAUUAGCUAGGAGGUGGGGUAAUGGCUCACCUAGGCGACGUGCCCUAGCUGGUCUGAGAGGAUGACCAGCCACAUGGGAACUGAGACACGGGCCAUAUGCCUACGGGAGGCAGAAGGGGGGAAUAUUGCACAAUGGGCGCAAGCCUGAUGCAGCCAUGCCGCGUGUGUGAAGAAGGCCUUCGGGUUGUAAAGCACUUUCAGCGGGGAGGCGUUACCCGCAGAAGAAGCACCGGCUAACUCCGUGCCAGCAGCCGCGGUAAUAC
rnacentral:rRNA from 1 species